rnacentral:rRNA from 1 species
GCCGGACUGAGAGGUCGGACGGCCACAUUGGGACUGAGACGCGGCCCAAACUCCUACGGGAGGCAGCAGUGGGGGAUAUUGCACAAUGGAGGAAACUCUGAUGCAGCGACGCCGCGUGAGUGAAGAAGUAUUUCGGUAUGUAAAGCUCUAUCAGCAGGGAAGAAAGGCUCGCAAGAGAGAUGACGGUACCUGACUAAGAAGCCCCGGCUAACUACGUGCCAGCAGCCGCGGUAAUACGUAGGGGGCAAGCGUUAUCCGGAUUUACUGGGUGUAAAGGGAGCGCAGACGGUCAAGCAAGUCUGAAGUGAAACCCCACGGCUCAACCGUUGAGUUGCUUUGGAAACUGUUUGACUAGAGUACUGGAGAGGUAAGCGGAAUUCCUAGUGUAGCGGUGAAAUGCGUAGAUAUUAGGAGGAACAUCGGUGGGGAAGGCGGCUUANUGGACAGCAACUGACGUUGAGGCUCGAAGGCGUGGGGAGCAAACAGGAUUAGAUACCCUUGCAUCCACGCGGUAAACGAUGAAUGCGGGUGUUGGGUGCCAUAGGCAUUCAGUGCCGUCGCUAACGCAGUAAGUAUUCCACCUGGGGAGUACGUUCGCA